UCUAAGAUGGUAUAUAACCACGCUGUACAACUCACUUCUUUGGAGUGCUUCCUUCCCUGGUGAAGGUCAUUCUCUCAGGCUAUGGUCCUCAGACUGGCUCAUAUAACAAACUCACCCCAAUUUUGAUUUAUAGAUUUAUUAUUGAUUAUUUGUAAUGACAUUUCCCUUCUCUU